rnacentral:rRNA from 1 species
UUGGAGGGCAAGUCUGGUGCCAGCAGCCGCGGUAAUUCCAGCUCCAAUAGCGUAUAUUAAAGUUGUUGCAGUUAAAAAGCUCGUAGUUGAAUUUCGGGAUCAAUGGGUUGGUCAUGCCCUCGGUAUGUACUGAUUUCAUUGGUUCUCACCUUCUAAGGAACCAUGAUGUCAUUUAUUUGAUGUUGUGGGAAAUUAGGACUGUUACCUUGAAAAAAUUGAGUGUUUAAAGCAGGCUAACGCUUGAAUACAUUAGCAUGGAAUAAUGAAAUAGGACAUCCGAUUCUAUUUUGUUGGUUUCUAGGAUCGAUGUAAUGAUUAAUAGGGAUAGUUGGGGGCAUUAGUAUUCAAUUGUCAGAGGUGAAAUUCUUGGAUUUAUUGAAGACUAACUC